AGAGAAGUUUCCAGGCCACAGAGAUGCAAGCGUUUCUCUUCAGCGCAAAGCGAAUAGCAGCAGAAAAGAAAACAAUUAUUAGAAGACGGGACCUUUGCUCUAUCUGGGGGAAGGUAAGCUCCCAAACAAAACCUUUUUAAAAAUCCGACUUUCUGAAUGCUCUCUUCUCCAUUCCCAGCUUCUGCCACGUCCCGGGUCCCAGAGUGUGCCUGCUCAGAUCCCAGAAAACUUGCAGGAACAGGAAGAGGUCACACAGUGUUAAGGGGAAGGGAGAACAGGAACGGCGGGUUUCUUACCGCGGUCAAGACCCUGAAGUCAUCUCGGCUCAUGUAACGCAACUUGGCCACAUUCACUUUCCCCAUGGCGGCCCCAGUCCGAACCCAGAUGCCUCUCCGACGACAGCCGCAAAGCGACUUGCUGCCUCAAUGACACGUUCCGCCUCAGAGAGCAAAGUGGUUACUUAAUGGGAGGAGCAAAUUUUUCCCGCAAACAACUUCUACUCUAGGCAAAGUGACUUCCAACAAGACAGGGGUAAAAGAACCUGAGCUAGAGUCCAGACAACCAAAUCUGUUAAAGUCUCACAGUGAACAUUCAGGAAUGUGCUGGAGUUGCUUUACAACAGCCACUAGCCUGAAAGAGCAAAUAAGGACAUAGAGAAGAAUCACAUGAAUUUUCUUGUGAGUGCUGAAGAUGGCAAGGCUGAGCCUUUCUCCUUUGGUGGAAACCUUUCUUGUAGUAUUUGUUUUCAUGGGUACUUGCGGGCAUGAGAAGCCUAUUCCUUUGUCUAGGAAUAUGCUGUAUUGAUUCUUGUUUUAUGUAGCUGUCUCUUUAAGUUUUUGUUUUCUUUACUAGUUAAAAGAUUUUGUUUGUUAAGUUUGUGUAUUGGCAUAUUUUAAUCAACAUCUUACAAUUCCAUGUGACAAGCAUGAUAGGCUUGAUGAUAGGCCAGAAUGGGAAUUAUUCAUUCAACAAACACGUACUGAGCAUCAACAUGGUACCUGUUGCAAGAAAGCAUCCUCUCUAGUAGGUGAAAUUAUGAGUGUAUGGAUUGUCAAGGGAAAUAAAAGAAAAAGAACAAAAAAGAAAGGCCAGCCCUAUAGGAUGACUUCAGUUGAGGAGGGGUAUGAAAUGUCUCAGAAAAACGGUUUAUACAAACAGAAAAAUAUCUAGGAUUGUGGAGUGCCACCUAACAAAAAGAGGAGCAUCAUGAAAUGCUAGACAAAGAACAAUUGAGAAGGGAAUUGGGCAAGAAGGAGGCCAGUGAUAUCUUCAAGACAAUACCUUCCUUUGUCGUGAAAAUGGUAGGAAUUGUGGUAGUUGUGGUUAGUAUAUUCGGGGAUGGAGAGGGUUUGUAAUUAGGAAGAACAGGUU
rnacentral:lncRNA from 10 species